rnacentral:rRNA from 1 species
GCCUUAAUUGGCUUAUAACUAUAUCCACUUACACCUGUGAACUGUUCUACUACUUGACGCAAGUCGAGUAUUUUUACAUACAAUGUGUAAUGAACGUCGUUUUAUUAUAACAAGAUAAAACUUUCAACAACGGAUCUCUUGGCUCUCGCAUCGAUGAAGAACGCAGCGAAUUGCGAUAAGUAAUGUGAAUUGCAGAAUUCAGUGAAUCAUCGAAUCUUUGAACGCAGCUUGCGCUCUCUGGUAUUCCGGAGAGCAUGCCUGUUUCAGUGUCAUGAAAUCUCAACCACUAGGGUUUCCUAAUGGAUUGGAUUUGGGCGUCUGCGAUCUCUGAUCGCUCGCCUUAAAAGAGUUAGCAAGUCUGACAUUAAUGUCUGGUGUAAUAAGUUUCACUGGGUCCAUUGUGUUGAAGCGUGCUUCUAAUCGUCCGCAAGGACAAUUACUUUGACUCUGGCCUGAAAUCAGGUAGGACUACCCGCUGAACUUAAGCAUAUCAAUAAGCGGAGGAAAAGAAACUAACAGGGAUUCCCCUAGUAACGGCGAGUGAAGCGGGAAGAGCUCAAAUUUGAAAUCUGGCAGUCUUCGAUUGUCCGAGUUGUAAUCUAUAGAGGCGUUUUCCGUGCUGGACCGUGUACAAGUCUCCUG